CUACAGAAAUACAUUUUUCUUUGUCUUUCUAUGUUUUAAUUGGAGUGCUUGUAGUCUUAAUCAUAUCUGGAGUCAUCCUUGGAUUUAUAUACGUAGGAAAAUGCAGCAGCAGAAGACGACAGGUGCGAAUAACCAGUCCUGAAAGAAUAACUGAUCCUGGAAACACAGAAGCGUACAUGGCAGCGGGAGAAAUUGAGCCAUACAGUAUCUUCAUCCAAAC